AGAAUCAACGCUGGCGGCGUGCCUAACACAUGCAAGUCGCACGAGAAAGGGGAGCAAUCCCUGAGUAAAGUGGCGCACGGGUGAGUAACACGUGAAUAAUCUACCUCCGAGUGGGGAAUAACUGAGAGAAAUCUUAGCUAAUACCGCAUAACACUUACGAGUCAAAGCAGCAAUGCGCUUGGAGAGGAGUUCGCGGCCGAUUAGUUAGUUGGCGGGGUAAUGGCCCACCAAGACGAUGAUCGGUAUCCGGCCUGAGAGGGCGCGACGGACGACGACUGGAACUGAAACACGGUCCAGACUCCUACGGAGGCAGCAGUGGGGAAUUUUGCGCAAUGGGGGAAACCCUGACGCAGCAACGCCGCGUGGAGGAUGAAGCCCCUUGGGGUGUAAACUCCUUUCGAUCGGGAAGAUAAUGACGGUACCGAUAUAAGAAGCCCCGGCUAACUUCGUGCCAGCAGCCGC
rnacentral:rRNA from 1 species